GUGCCAGCAGCCGCGGUAAAACGUAGGUGGCAAGCGUUAUCCGGAUUCACUGGGCGUAAAGCGCAUGCAGGUGGCACUGUAAGUAGGGCAUGAAAUCUCCUGGCUUAACUGGGAGACGCUGUUCUAAACUGCAGAGCUUGAGGCUGAGAGAGGGAAGUGGAAUUGCCGGUGUAGUGGUGAAAUGCGUAGAGAUCGGCAGGAACACCCGUGGCGAAAGCGGCUUCCUGGCUCAGUCCUGACACUCAGAUGCGAAAGCUAGGGGAGCGAACGGGAUUAGAUACCCGCGUAGUCC
rnacentral:rRNA from 1 species